UGGGGAAUAUUGCACAAUGGGGGAAACCCUGAUGCAGCAACGCCGCGUGAGUGAUGACGGUCUUCGGAUUGUAAAACUCUGUCUUUAGGGACGAUAAUGACGGUACCUAAGGAGGAAGCCACGGCUAACUACGUGCCAGCAGCCGCGGUAAUACGUAGGUGGCAAGCGUUGUCCGGAUUUACUGGGCGUAAAGGGAGCGUAGGUGGAUAUUUAAGUGGGAUGUGAAAUACUCGGGCUUAACUUGAGUGCUGCAUUCCAAACUGGAUAUCUAGAGUGCAGGAGAGGAAAGGAGAAUUCCUAGUGUAGCGGUGAAAUGCGUAGAGAUUAGGAAGAAUACCAGUGGCGAAGGCGCCUUUCUGGACUGUAACUGACACUGAGGCUCGAAAGCGUGGGGAGCAAACA
rnacentral:rRNA from 1 species